rnacentral:rRNA from 1 species
UACGUAGGGGGCAAGCGUUGUCCGGAUUUAUUGGGCGUAAAGAGCUCGUAGGCGGUGUGUCGCGUCGGCCGUGAAAACCUGCAGCUUAACUGUGGGCUUGCGGUCGAUACGGGCAUCACUGGAGUUCGGCAGGGGAGACUGGAAUUCCUGGUGUAGCGGUGAAAUGCGCAGAUAUCAGGAGGAACACCAAUGGCGAAGGCAGCUCGCUGGGACGGUACUGACGCUGGAGGAGCGAAAGCGUGGGGAGCGAACAGG